GGACCUCGUGGAGAAGGCCACCAUGCAAUUUACGGAACUCUCGGAUAACACCAACCUCCAAGUGCCGUUGGGUUAACGGCCCAAAUUCUCAACCAGCUAGAUCGGACGGUUCACGUUUAUCCUCCAACACCCCCCCGCCCCCAACCCUCUUCGACCUUCUCCUCCACACCACACUCUUUGUACUCUCCGACACCAGACCGGGAAUUUCCUCACGUUAUUUGAAAGUAGAUAGCAUCUAAUUUGAGCGCCUUUUUUCUUUCUUUCUUCCUUAGGGUUUUCAAAUGGCGGCAAUUGAACCUUCAAGAAUUUCAAUUCACAGAAAAUUCUAUCUGAAUUCGAACGGUAAUCGCCGGGACUUGUACAGAUAUGGCUUUUUCUGUGACCGAUUUAGGGUUUUGCAUCAAGAACCGAGACGUUUUCCUGCCAAUUCGAUGUCGUUUCGGUCGAUUAACGUGUAUACACAAGAUAGGGUUUCGCGGGGCUUGGGUAGGUUUGAUCUGUGGAGAGGGCUUCUGAGGAAGCAAGAUUGGAGGGAGAGUAGAAUACGUGCCAAUAGUUCUUGCGAGCAAGAUACAGAUUCCAAGACUAAUUCGGCGGAGAAUAGUGAAGGCAAGGCCGGUGAGAGCCAAGGAGUUAGCAAGAAGCAGCCGAGUUCGAAACCGUCGCCGCCACCGCCGCCGAGGAAGGAGAAGCACCGGAAAGGUGGGUGGUUGAAGGGCGGGAAAUGGCAGUGGCAGCCGAUAAUUCAGGCGCAGGAGAUUGGUAUACUGUUGUUGCAAUUAGGGAUUGUCAUGUUUGUUAUGAGGUUGCUCCGGCCGGGAAUUCCGCUGCCGGGAUCGGAGCCGAGGACUCCCACUGCAUUUGUCAGCGUUCCAUAUAGUGAUUUUUUAAGUAAAAUCAAUAGUAAUCAGGUGCAGAAGGUUGAAGUGGACGGUGUUCAUAUUAUGUUCAAGUUGAAGUCCGAUCAGGGUAUUGUGGAAACUGAAGUGGGAAGCAACAGUAAGUUGCAAGAUUCAGAAGCAUUGUUGAGAAGUGUUGCCCCCACUAAGAGGAUUGUUUACACAACGACCCGUCCCACUGAUAUCAAGACUCCAUACGAGAAGAUGGUUGAGAAUGAUGUUGAAUUUGGAUCGCCAGAUAAGCGGUCAGGUGGAUUCUUAAAUUCUGCAUUGGUAGCUUUGUUCUAUGUGGCUGUGCUUGCAGGGCUUCUUCAUCGCUUCCCUGUAAGUUUCUCACAGCACACAGCUGGUCAGCUUAGGAACCGCAAGUCUGGAGGUUCUGGUGGAGCAAAAGUGUCCGAACAAGGUGAAACUGUUACAUUUGCUGAUGUUGCAGGUGUUGAUGAGGCUAAGGAGGAGCUAGAAGAAAUUGUGGAAUUUCUCAGGAAUCCAGACAGGUACACACGAGUUGGUGCUCGCCCUCCUCGAGGUGUUCUCCUGGUGGGUCUUCCUGGGACAGGUAAGACACUUUUAGCAAAGGCUGUAGCUGGAGAAGCUGAUGUUCCUUUCAUUAGUUGUUCUGCAAGUGAGUUUGUGGAAUUGUAUGUCGGCAUGGGGGCAUCCCGUGUCAGAGAUCUCUUUGCAAGAGCCAAGAAGGAGGCACCCUCAAUUGUUUUUAUAGAUGAGAUAGAUGCUGUAGCAAAAAGCCGUGAUGGUAGAUUUCGCAUUGUCAGUAAUGAUGAGCGGGAACAGACCUUGAACCAGCUGCUCACUGAGAUGGAUGGGUUUGAUAGCAAUUCUGCUGUGAUAGUUCUUGGGGCAACCAAUCGCUCUGAUGUCUUAGACCCUGCACUUCGUCGACCUGGCAGAUUUGAUCGUGUGGUUAUGGUGGAAACACCUGAUAGAACUGGAAGAGAAGCAAUUUUGAAAGUACAUGUUUCCAAGAAGGAACUUCCUUUAGGAGAUGAUGUUGAUCUUGUGGCUAUUGCUUCUAUGACUACUGGGUUUACAGGGGCAGACCUUGCAAACUUGGUAAAUGAGGCCGCUCUGUUGGCAGGAAGAGAAAAUAAAGUUGUCGUUGAGAAAAUUGACUUUAUUCAAGCCGUGGAGCGGUCCAUAGCUGGAAUUGAGAAAAAAACUACCAAGUUGAAGGGAAGUGAGAAGGCCGUAGUUGCUCGGCAUGAAGCUGGUCAUGCAGUGGUAGGGACUGCUGUUGCAAACCUCCUGCCUGGACAGCCACGUGUGGAGAAGUUGAGUAUAUUGCCAAGGUCAGGAGGGGCAUUGGGGUUUACUUACACUCCUCCCACCAAUGAGGAUAGGUAUUUGCUCUUUAUUGAUGAGUUACGAGGGCGCUUGGUUACUCUUCUUGGAGGACGUGCUGCAGAAGAAGUUGUUUAUGCAGGCCGUGUGUCAACUGGUGCACUUGAUGAUAUACGAAGAGCAACAGACAUGGCAUACAAGGCAGUGGCUGAGUACGGUCUUAAUGAGACAAUUGGCCCUGUUUCCUUGGCUACACUUUCUGGUGGCGGGGCUGAUGAAUCAGGGGCUAUUCCUUGGGGAAGGGAUCAGGGUCAUCUUGUGGACCUUGUUCAAAGAGAGGUCAAAGCACUUCUCCAGUCUGCCCUUGAUGUAGCCCUCUCUGUUGUACAGGCUAAUCCCACUGUUCUGGAGGGGCUUGGUGCACAUUUGGAAGAAAAGGAGAAAGUAGAAGGUGAAGAGCUGCAAGAGUGGUUGAAGUUGGUGGUUGCACCAGCAGAACUUAAAUUGUUCAUUAGAGGAAAGCAAGGGGCCCUUCUUCCACUAAAAGCAGGUUCCUGAUAGUAUCUACUGCAUGCUGUGGACUCAUCAAGCUCGAAAGCUCAGGCUGCACUUCUACGUUCCAGCUACGUCUUAACCAUUUGCAAGUAAUGAAGAUAAAACUGUGUUCACGACAUUGACUCCUCAUCAAUUCCACUGCAUAAUUGACAGUGACUCGCCCUUGCAACUUCACAAUCUUACGCCAAGUUAUAUUAGAUACAACGAAGAGUUGGCAUGCAUUAGGGAUGUGUGUUUGGGACAUUGGCAGCGUGCGCUUCUGCUAGUAACUGUUGUUUCCUGAAGCUUGACGCAAAUGGAGAACAUCUUAUAUCAAUCAAAGCUUACUUUCCCAGGGAACUCAAGACCCUCUGUUUUUGCUUUUAUUUUUAUUUUUUAAAUUUUUUUUUUUUACAGACGCUGUAUGUUUGGAGAGUUUGUAUCCAGUAUUUCUCUAUCAUACUUGUUUAACACCAUCAUAAAGCCAAGCCAGAUCCUCAAGGAAUAUAACAUGAGAUGGAAAUUCUGUUUGCCAA